UGCAGUCACUGGAGGGCUUGGCUGGGGCUGGAGGAGCUGCUUCCAUGGUCCUGGCUCAUGUGGCUUGGGAGCUGGUGGUGGCUGCCGGCAGGAGGUCCCAGUCCCUUCCUAUGGGGACCUCUCCAUAGGUCUGCUUGAGUGGCCUCAUGACAUGGCAGCUGGCAUCUCCCACAAUGGGCCCUCCUAGAAGGUCAAAGGGAUCUCAGCUGCAAGAAGCUGGAGGAGGAUGCCUGGAUUUGCAGGGUUGAAGAUGGAGUCACAAACUGUUAACCUGGAAUGGAAGUGUAAAUCAAGGAACUUCUGCCAGGAACCACAGAGACGGGAACCUUUGAAGAGCCCAGAGAAACUUCUAGGGAAGAGAUUUCACCACCUGCCAGGCCGAAGAGCUGCCAGCCAUGUGGCCCAAUAGGAACUGUGUGAUUUCCCACUUCCCUUACUUCCUCUCCUCUCCUCUCCUCUCAUUCCCCCCACCACUUGGACCCUGAAACUAACCAGCGAGCUGGGAGGGGGUUCUUCAGAGAACAACAGCAAAAGGACUCCUUGUCCCAGCACAAACACCCACGCCCUCCGAACUCCUUACCCUGCCUUGGCCUGACUUCACCCUGACGGGGAGCUGGGCCUGAGGCCGGAGGAGGGAGCUCUGCCUGGCAACAACAGCUGGUUUGGAAAAGCUUUGCACAAGGUACUUCUGGUAACAGCAAGAAGCUGUCAGCAACAAAAUGUGAAGAAAGAGUGCCUGAGCUUGAAAAAGAAUCCUGGAGCUAAGGGUUUUAAAAGAUUUUCAUGGAAUUUGAAAUAGAGUCAGCCCUGAGCCAAAUCUAAUGUUAAGGACGAUUCAAGGGCAUUCUUGAGCAAAUACUCAGAAUGGAAAAGAACUGCCAAAAAUCCAGAGUGCCACACUGGGGUCCAAAGGCUGUUUUCAAAUGUGAGAGAAGGCUGUGAGACCAGGAAUGAAGCCAAGGAGAAUUUGUAAGAGGCAACUGAACAGUUUUCUGGAUCACCUGGAGAAAGAGACAAGCUAUACUCCCUUAAGAACAGGAGCCAAGAACCAAACUGGCUGGUGAGACCUGGUCACCUGAUUGCUGAGGGAAACAAAUCCCACAACCUAUUAUCACCGACCUCUGCUUUGCCAGCAUGGGACUGUGGAUCCAUCUGCCCAUGCCCAGCUUGGAAGCCCUUGCCUCUUCUCUGACUGGCUCAUGACUGUGGAAAGCACAGGCACCUACCACAUCAUCAAGUCCUCUUUUAAAAACUCAAUGAAAGCAAGAUGUGGUUGUGCAUGCCUGCAAUCCCAUCAUUCUGGAAGACUGAAACAGAAGGACUGUAAGUUCAAGCACAGCCUGGCAACUUGUGACUUAGCAAGACCCUGUCUCAAAAAUAAAAAAGCCAAGUGUGAAGGCUCUGAGUUCAAUUUUUAGUACUGCAAAAAAUUCUAUGAUGCCAGAUGCUAAUUCAGAUACUAUUUACACAUAACAAAUUAAUUUACAGCUAAUUCAGGUGACUAUUUUACAGAUAGAUCCAGUGAGGUUCAGAAAUAUGAAGUCAGGGGCUGGGGAUUUAGCUCAGUGGCAAAGCGCCUGCCUGGCAAGUGCAAAGUCGUGAGUUCGAUUCCUGGUACCAGAAGAAAAACAAACAAACAAACAAAAAAGAUACAUGAAAUCAAUGAUUUCCAAAUGCUGGUCCAAGAACCAAAGACAGUCCUUGUGGUGUUUUCACUGGUCUUCAGCAAAAUUGGAAAAAUAAGAAACAAAUAAAGAUAAAAAUA